UCCGGUGGUAAGAGCGGAGAGGACCCACCCGUUCCCAUUCCGAACACGGAAGUUAAGCUCUCCAGCGCCGAUGGUACUUGGCGGGCGACUGCCCGGGAGAGUAGGCCACUGCCGGAA
rnacentral:rRNA from 1 species